rnacentral:lncRNA from 1 species
GAGGGAAGGAGGGAGGGAGGCGGGCAUCUGCAGUGCCACCGGGACAUCUUGCCAUGGAGGACGGACCCUCCCAGGCACAGGGAGCGUGGAGGGAACUGUGGACCAGGACCAUCACCCCAAGGCUCGUUGGUGACAAAUACAGGAAGAGCACAAGCUGGAAACUCCUCUUCAAAGCUCAGUUUGAUGAUGUUAAAUGAAGGUGGUUGAGGAGGAAGGUGGAGAGUUUGCGCGGAAGAAUUGUCGGGUCUUUCUUAUUUUUUUGGAAGUUUAUUUAUUUAACAGCUAUUUACCCAUCUCUGUGAUGUCCCCGGUCCCUCUUGCAGCCAGCCCUUGGUUCUCCUGGGGAGACAGCUGACAUUGAACAUGGUGAGUAAGAGGUGAGAGUCCCAGGGGGAGGACAGGGCUAGGGGAAGAGGCUCGGGCCCUGGGGUGUCCCAGGGCUGCGGAAACAAAGCUCCCCAUACUGGCCAUUCUUAGCAGAGUGGACUGGCACAUCUGGAGCCAAGUGAACAGGGCUGGCAUCUCUGGGGGCCUCAGGGAGGGACCCUGCCAUCCGUGGCCUGUGGCCCCCCAUCUGCCUCCAUGGCCCACCCCCCCCCGUGUGUACUCUCUUCUUUAUGUAAGGACACUGGCCAUCCAGGACGAUUUCAUCUCAAGAGGCCUCUCUGAUGACAUCUGCAGAGCACUUCAGAUAAGGCGCAUAGAUGUGAUCUAAGGGGCCAUGGUUACCCCAGGGGUUAGGGCGGACCUCAGAGA